UCAUCCAACCCGCUAAACCCAAUUAAAAGGAAGUUGUUUGCCGGCGGUACCGGGAUACGCCCUGACCCAUUUCUAAAUUUUGAAACGACUCCUUAUGGCCUUAGGAACAAUGUCUUUUCUAUGAUUCUCAUUUUGACCACACAAUUUUGUUUUUUCUCAAUUUCACCCUGGCACUUAAAUACGUGACACGCAUCACUAUUAAACCGAUUAUCAUUCCCCUUUGCCUUCGUCUUUCCCUUAAUUUCUGAUUUCUUCUUCGUCUUUUCUUUGCUUCCAAGAACUUUGUGGUUUGUCGAUGCAGUGAUUUUUGAGGUUUCGCAACGACGCGGACGCACCCAACCAUCGGUUUCAAGCAAGUAUCUAUUUUAAUUUGGGAGUUGGGUUACAUAGUGCAUCUGUGUGGUUUUUGUUGUCAAUCUGCUUACUCUGGCUUUACUAACAUCCCAUGGUUUUGGUUACAAAUUGUAAAAAAAAAAAAAACAAAAAAAGUCCAUCAAUUGUUAAAGGUAGGAGUUGAGACUCCAUAAUUAAUGAACAAAGUUUGUUUCCUUCCACUUCCAAUAUGCACACAUUCAAUUAUAUUGUUAUCUUCUUUUAUUCAAAAUUACAUUUACAAAUGUGUUGUAUGAUUUCUUAGGUUUGCAUAUUGUUUAUAGGAGGGGACUCUAGGUCAUUUUGUAUUUAUAUGUUUACAGAAAGUUAUUUAGCUAAAAUAAUCUGAUGCAUGAGUGUGCUUUUUUUUUUUAACCAAUUAGCUUGCUUAUUGACAUAUUUUACUUGAGGGGUAUUUUUGUCAAUUACCAUUCUUUUACCGAAUUUGUUUGACUUUUGACCAACAGGGAAAGAAUGAAAGUUUUCUGUCUACUCAUGGAACUGAAACUCAAAGUUUAGCUACAUAAUAGGAACAUAUGUAAUUAUAAUGGAUCGUGUGUGUAUGCACGUCAAAAAUUAAAAAAAAAAAAAAAAGAUCCGUGGUUCACCACGGUUUCACUUACUAGUUCCAAUUAAAGCUUCAAACUUUUUUAGUUUUUCUUUUUCUUUUACAACAAUGUUACUUUUUGAAAUAUUAUUUUAUCAAGGCUUUUUUAUAUUGUUUUCACCUUUUUUUACUUUUCCAUGCAUUUUAUUUUCACAGUUUAACAAUUAUAGCAUUGUACUUCCAGUUUUCUUAUCAAAAGCGUAUUUCUCUUUACAGUUUUUAUUUUCUUUCCUUCUAUAACAUUGUUACUCUCAAAUAUUUUUCAUAUCAAGACAUUUUAAUAAAUAAUCUUUAUAUGUUUUACUUUUUUUUCAUUCUACUUUGAAAAAUUUACCAGUUAUAGCAUUAUACGACCAGUUUUCUUUUAUAAAAGCACAUUCGCUUUGAAAAAACAUACCAAUUAAAGUUUUACACAUUUGUCUGUUUGUUUUUUUCUUUUACAACAUUUUAAUUGUUAAAUAUUCUGUUAUCGAGACAUUUUAUUAAAAUAUCUUUUCAUUUUUUAUUUAUCUAGACAUUCUACUUUGAUAAAUCUACCAAAUAUAGCAUUAUACUUUAAUUAUUCAUAUUAAAAUCACAUUUCCUUAGAAAAAUCACCUCAACAAAGUUUUGCACAUUUUAUUAAAAAUCCUUAAAAUUUUUACAUCAGACAUUUUAUAUACUUAGAAAAUUUUACUAAUUAUAGCCUUGCACUUUUAGUUUUCUUAAUAAAUGCACAUUUUCUCUUUGAAAAUCAUCCCUACCAUAGCUUUCAAUUUUUUGGUUUUUAUUUCCUCUUUUAUAACAUUUUUAAUCUAAAAUAAUCUUUUAUCAAGACAUUUAAAAAAACAAUUGUUUUACAUAUCUAAGCCUUCUACUUUUAGCUAUUUACCAAUUAUAGCAUCGUAACUUAUUUUUGUUAUUAAAAGCACAUUUUCCUCUUCUCUAAUUAUAGCAUUGUACUUUAAGUUAUAUUAUGAAAAGCACAUUUCCAUUUGAAAAAUCAUCCUAAUUAAAACAUUGCACUUUUUAAGAUUUUUUUUUUUACUUUUACCACAUUUUAACUUUCAAAUGUUGUUAUAUUAAGACAUUUUAUUAAAAAAUCUUUACAUUUAUAUACUUAUCUAGGCAUUUUACUUUGAAAAUCUUACCAAUUAUAGCAUUAUACUUUAUGUUUUCUUAUUAAAUGCACAUUUUACUUUGAAAAAUCAUACAAGUUAAAGCUUUGCACUAUCUAGGCAUUUUUUUUGCUAUCAAUGCAUUUUAUUGUAUCAAGUCGCUUUAUUUUGAAAAAUCUAUCCAAUUUUUUUACUUUGAAAAAAUAAUAAUUCUUUUCUCAUCAAGGCAUGUUAUUUUGAACAAACCAUCAAAUUUUUAUGUAUCUAGAGAUUUUAUUUUGAAGAAUCUAGUUUUUUUUUCUUUCAAAGCAUUUACUUUGAAAAAUCUAUCAUUUUAUUUUAUAUCAAACCAUUUUACUUUGGAAAACCUACACAACUAUAGCAUUGUACUUUCAGUUUUCUUUAUAUAAGCACAUUUUCAAAAGUCAACCCAUUUAUAGCAUUGCAUUUUGCAGUUUUCUUUUUGUUCAACAUUAUUAUUUUCAUAUUUUAUUUUAAUAAGUCUAAUUGGUCUAUCGAAUUUUUUCUUAUCAAGACAUUUUUACUUUAUAAAAGUUUAACCUAUUUUUUUGCUCAUCAAAGCACUUUUUUUUUGAAUUAUCCAUCAAAAAAAUCAAGUUUCUUUUUUAUGCUAUGAUAUUAAAAUUUUCAAAUCUCCUAUUUUCAAAUCAAUUUACUUUGAAAGCUAUAUUAUUUUUUUUAAUAAAGGCAUUUUACUCUGAAAAAUCUACCAAGCACAUGUCUCUUUGAAAAAUCAACCCAUUUGCUUUAUUUUAGUUACAACAUUACAAACAUUAUUUUUUUUUUAUCUUAUCAGGUCAUUUUACUUUAAUCUAUCAUAUUUUUUUAUUAUCAAGGCAUUCAUCUUUGAAAAAUCUGACAAAUAUAGUAUUGUAUUUACAAUUUUCUUAUUAUAAGCACAUUUCCUCUUGAAAACUCAACCCAUGUAUAGCACUGCUUUUAUCUUUAUGUUACAACAUUAAAACAUUCAAAUUUUAUCUUAUCAAGUCAUUGUACUUUGAAAAAUCAAUCAUAUUUUUUUUUUUUCAAAUCUAGUCUUUUUACUUUGAAAAAUCUCUCAUUUAGAGCACUGUAUUUUCAUUUUUCUUAUUUUAAGCACAUUUUCCUUGAAAAAUCAACCCCAUUUUAGCAUUGCACUUUCAGUAUGUUUCUUUCUAUUAUAGUUUUCAAAAUUUUCUUAUCAAGGCAUUUAACAUUGAAAAAACAAUCAAAAUCUUUUCUUAUCAAGGCAUUUUACUUUAAAAAAUUCCAUCAAUUUUUUUCUUAUGGAGCCCUUUACCUUGAAAAAUCUAUGAAGUAUUACAUUACAUUGCAUUUUCAGUUGUAUUAUUAUAAGCAUAUUUACCUUUGAAAAAUCAACCCGUUUAUAGCAUUGCACUUUUCAAUUUUCUUUCUAUUAUUGCAUUGUAACUUUCAUGAUUUUUUCUUCAUGUUGCCUUGAAAAAUCUAUCAAUUUUUUUCUAAUAAAGGCAUGUUACUUGAAAAGUCUACCAUAUAUAGGACUACACUAUUCGGUUUUCUUUUUGUUACAACAUGGUAAAUGUCAAAAAAAGUUUACCUACCAAUUAUAACAUUGUUCUUUUAAUUUUCGUAUUAUAAGUUACGAUUUAAAAUUGUAAAAACCACUUGUAAAAUUCCAUUUUUCAGUUUUUUUUCUGCUUCAAAAUUGCAACUUCCAAAAAUUUCUUACCAAGGUCUUUUUUUUUUUUGAAAAAAGUAUCAAAUAUUUUCUUAUGAAAGAAACUUACUUUGAAAAUCAACCCAAUUUUUAGCAUUGUACUUUCAUUUUUGUUAUUAUCAGCACAUCUAUGUUUAUGACAAGUUUUGAAAUGUAUUCUAUUCAUUUCAUUUUAUUAUGUUAAUAUUAAUUAUAUUUAUUUCUUUUUACUAUUUUUUAUAUGAUUUCAUUGGUUUGUUAUUUUUGUAAGAAAUGUAAAAAGCUGUCGGUCCAAAACCAACACCGCAGGUUUAUCACUUUAUUUAAUUUAUUGGUUAAAUUACUGACUAUCAGUUUCUUUUAUUUUGUAAAUUGGUUACUUGUUUUGAUUGAUGUAUUUACCUGCUAUAUAUAAUUAUAUGAUGUGAUUUUAACUGUUGUUAUUUUAUGUUUUAUGCAUAAGUUUUGGCUCUUCUUGCAUUUUGAAUGUUACUGAAGUCAAUAUGUUUUAUAAGUUAAUUAUCUGAUUAUUAAGUUUUAUGUUCAUAAACUCUCUUGUGUCAAGGACAUUAAGUUAUGGUUUUCUUUGUUUUGAAGUAAGCUGUUUGCUUAUUUGAUCUCAGUUUGAGAAUUAUUUUGGUUACAAGUUUUGUUGGUCAUGUAUUAUUACCUACACUUACUUUUUUAUUAAGUAGUUGUGUUAUUUAUUGUUUACUUUUGUUUGUUUAAAUUUCUAGUAGGCACAUGAUUAUCUGUAGUAUGAAUUUAUUUUUAUGUUUUUUCUUCAUUUUAUACUGCUUUUAUAUUAAAAGCCGAUACAACUUUUUGUUGGUCAGACUUGACUUUUCACAACAAAAAAUUAUCCUGUUUACAUGUUUUAAUGUCUAAUCGUGUAAUUGUGGCUUUAUGUGUAGGAGGUUCUACUUUGUUUAUUUCUUGUGUGUUUGUUUGUAGGACCUGCUUCGGAAUUCAUGUAUUAGUUCAGUUUGUAGGCCUUUUCUUUUUCUUGUGUGGCUUUGUAUGUUGAUUUUGCUUUGUUUGUAGAGUUAUUGUGUGGCUUUGUUUAUAGGAUUCUAAUUUGGAAUUCAUGUGUAGGGUUUGGUUUAUAGGGUUCUGUUUUUGAAUUUGUGUUCCUUUUCUCGUGUAGCUUUGUUUGCAGAGUUCUUACAUGCCUUUGUUUUUACAGAUCUUCUAUAUUGUAUUUUAUCGUGUCUAUUUUGUUUGUAGGGUUCUACUAUGUUUGAUUUUGCUUUGCUUUGUUUAUAAGGUUCUAUUUUAUUUGUAGAGAGUUCUGGUGUGGCUUCGUUUGUAGGGUUCUACUUUGUUUGUAGGAUUCUGUUUUGAAAUUCAUGUCUUGGUUCUACUUUUGAAUCCUUUUCCCUUUUCUUGUGUGGCUUUAUUUGUAGGGUUGUGUUUUGUUUGUAGAGUUAUUAUGUGAGUUUUUUUAUAGGAUUUUUCUUUGGAGUUCUUGUCUCGGGUUAUGUUUGUAGGAAUCAACUUUGAUAUUCUUAUCCAUUUCAAUAUUCUUAUGUGGCUUUAUUUCUAGGGUUCUGAUUCUUUAUGUAGAGUUCUUAUUGGUUCUAUUUAGAUGGUUCACCUUUGUUUUUAGACUUCUUGUGUGGCUCUAUUUGUAGGAUUCUUGUCUUAGGUUCUCUUUGUUUCUUUGUAGGGUUAUGUUUCAAAAUUCUUCUCCAUUUUCUCUGUAGAGUUGUUCUUAUGAAUUCUUUGUAUCGGGUUCUAUUUGUGAAGCUUUGGAAUUCCUGUUAAUUUGUGUUUUCUUGUGUGAAAUUUAUAGGGUUAUUUUUUGUUUGUAGAGUACUUGUGUGGCUUUGUUUUAGGGUUCUACUUUCUUGUCUUUAAUUAUGUUUGUAGGGUUCUACUUUGGAAUUCUUAUUCAUUGCAUUUUCUUGUGUGGCUUAGCAGCUUUGUUUGUAGACUUCUUGUAUGACUUUCUUUGAUCUUUGAUUGUAGGGUUCUGCUUGUGAAUUCUUGUCUUGGGUUCUCUAUGUUGGGUUUUGCUUUAGAUUUCUUUAUCCAUUUUGUAUUUUCUUUGUAGGGUUUUUUGCUUUGUUUGUAUAAAUCUUAUGUGGCUUUGUUUCAAGAUUUCUUGUGUAACUUUGUUUGUAGAGUUCUUGUGUCUCUUUGAUUGUAAUCUUUGGAAUUCUUGGGUUAUGUUUGUAGGGUUUAUUAACAUUUAGUCUUCAACAAGGCUAUAACUUCAUGGUUGAAUUAGAUUUGAUCUAAUAACUUUA